rnacentral:rRNA from 1 species
UGUGGCGUGAGGAAGUCGGUCUCCGCGGUCGGUUCGUCGGCGCCGAGGUCCUUCUGAUCGAGGCCUCCGCGCGUCCCAGGGCGGGUGUCAGGCCCCUUCGGGCGCCGUCCGGCCGCGGAAUUCGGAUGGCUUCCGGGAGUCGGGUUGUUCUGUAUUGCAGCCCCAAGGCGGGUGGUAAACUCCAUCCAAGGCUAAAUACCGGCACGAGACCGAUAGCGAACAAGU